CGAUGAGUUGACUCGUUCUGAUGAGUA
rnacentral:sRNA from 1 species